AGCGUCCACUGUACAUGCAGGAGGAGUGGCCGGUGGGGUCCGCGGCUGGACCCAGCCCGCCUUCAGGCGGGAGACGCAGCCCCGGGGCUCCGGGAUGGCCGGGACACUGGCACCAAUGCCACCCGCGCCGACGCCGGACUUUCCUGCGUGGCCCGAGUAACGAGUGACCGGAAGAGGGGGCGAGCGCUCCAGUGGCGCAGUCGGUCUGCGCGCGGUAUUUAUACGGCAGGCUCAUUUAAAGAAGAUACUGCUUCCUCCAUUUAAAUGUGUCCAGAAUCCAGAUAUAGAAGGCAUUUAUGACUCAGCCUGAUUAAUCAGAGUUAAUCCCGACUCCUCUUCCGUGGGAAAAUGGAAGGGAAGCUGGGCAACCCUUCCCCUGGGUACCACCCAAGAAGCGCCCAAGUAUUCAGAACUCACGGGCCCUCGGACGCAGGCGACCCGGGACGCAAGCCCACCAGGGAAGGAUCCCUCCGUGCGCCCCCUGGAGCAUCGAGAGGCUUUGCCCCGCGGACCCUGGCGCCAGGUUUCCAAACGGGUUUACUCACCGUGCGUCAGGAGUCGGGAUGCUCCGGGUGCCCGAGGCCGCGGAGGGGAGUCUGAACCUCCGUUGCCCGCCAGGGGGAACCAGAACGCCGGGAAAGAGCGAAGGCCAGGCACAGGUGAUUCCAUUGCGUCCCGGCCGCUUCCCUUCUGGUUUCUGUCCAUUAUGUGGGGGAAAAGAUGUAGUCCCCACACACCUAUGUCCCGGGACAGGUCCCAACAUCUCCCUCCGAGCAUCCUGUGGGUUCCCAGGAAUGAAUUCAAGAAUAGCAUGCUCGAAGGCUCAGGGCCACGGGGACGAGGUGGCCGAGUGGUUAAGGCGAUGGACUGCUAAUCCAUUGUGCUCUGCACGCGUGGGUUCGAAUCCCACCCUCGUCGAGGGCGUGGGCUUUUGGUGUGUCAACCUCCAGUGUCCCUUCCGAGUGUUUGCCCUGGAGAAGGCUGACCCUUCCCGGGUCACUACGAUGUGUGCAUUUUCCUGCUUCCUACCUCUGUGAUGAUUCCCGCAUCUCCUUGGCCCUACACCCCCAGGCCCACUGUCCUUGUACAAAGGAUAAUAAUACAUCUCUGAAAGACCAGAAGUAACCCACUUUCCCCCUCUUUUAAAGGGAAAAGCACUCUCCAGGAAGCACAGGUGUGUGGUAGCAGUCUUGCACCUUGUUUGCUCUCACUGUUUUGUCAUCUUCCUUUCCUCCUUUAUUCUGAGUGCACAAAAGAACCUGGAAAACUGUCAUUCCCUGAAG